AAAAGCUUCGUGACGUCACAUUUCAAAAUUUAGGGCAAUAUCGUUCCCCGAUCUGCUGCGCUCUUGGGUGCUAGACGACUGACUGCUCUGUACCACGCGGAUCACUUACUGGUGUACUAUUAAAACAUGAUGCUUUUGGGUCACAUCUUGAUUCAAUUAAUCGAACUACUGACUUAGAUCUAGAAAACGAAACAUCGAAAGUGCGGGCAAUGUGUUGGCUGAGAUUUGGAGCGAGUUAAGCUCCAGUUACCGAUGCUUGACUUGACCUAGAGAGACUUGAGAACUGUCACAUAAAAGAUCCGUUUAAUGGGCCUUGCAUGUAUUUGAUUACUGAACACAUGACUUGACUUGAAAGUCUGUUGAAUUUAGAACUCUAAGUUACGUUGACAUUUGAACUGCUCUCCCUCUCUCACUGCUUCUCUUUUCAUUCUCAUUAUGACACUAUUCCAGUGUUGCCUGAAUAUUUUCGGUUAAAAUUAAAUAUGUUAAAAUUCUAAUCUUUAAUAUUUAUAAAUCUUCAAAUAAAGAAAAAAUAAGAUAAUUCAGAGGAAAAUACCUUUUUCACAACAAUUAUUUUUUAAUGUGUUUAUUAAAAAAAUCGUUUAUUUUAUUUAUAACGCAAAUACUUGUUUAACUUUAAGUGCAAUAAACAAAUAAAAUCAAAUAGGUACGAUAUGAGGGUAAUUUUUACAACAGAAACAUAACUAUUGCGAAUCUCUGCAAGAAUUUGUGGUGAUCUGCUCAGAAAAAAAAUAUUUUGCGAAUUUAUUGUAAAUGUUCAAAUACAAUUUGAAUAAAUUAUUUAUUCACCUAUCAUAUAUACGCUUGGCUGGCUCCAAUUUAUUACAUAUUGUAACAAUUCCAAAUAUCGAAAAACUGAACUACGUGUGCACGUUUCUUUUGUGGUAUUCUGCUCAAAGCUAUAUUCAUAUAUUUAUUAAAGAGUUUUCUUUCAAACAUAAAAUCUUCACGUGUUCACAGAUUUCCUAAUAGUGAAGAUUUUUUUGUAUACUAGUUUUAAAAUCUUCAAUCUUGGUGAUAUUUUAAUUUAAAAAACUUAAUUUUAAAGCUAAAUAUACACAUCUGGCAACUCUACCCAGAAACUAUAAUAAUAACAGCUGAAGUUGAAGUUGUGUGAAGUAUAACUGCAUCUAAGUUUUCCAAGCCAAAUUUUUCGAAGCUGAGUCAAGUCAAGCAUCGGUAACUGGAGCUUUAGUCAUUGAUAAUUUUCGAGUCGUUGCUGAAUAUGUUGCACCAACUGUUACUGGACUGGAUAUUGAACAGGCUAUGAUGUUGAAAAAUAAUGCAACUUGGUAUGCUAAACAUGAACUUCCACGUGACAUUCUUUGUAUAUUUUCAAUAGAUGUAUUUUGGGGAAUAGACACAGGCAAGGAGUGCGACGAGGAGUUGCUUUCAAAAAUGGGCAAAAUCGGACAAUGCCACGCCCACAAAAUGGCGAAAAACGAAACAUAAAGUGUCAUAACGAAGUCAUACAUAAAGUUAUAAAAGUAAAAAAGGAUCGUCUUAGUAAGGGCCAUAUUUGGAUGUAUUUUUUUUUGGGAAGUGGGCAUGGCCCUGCCGCCAAAUAGGUUUUUUGUAUAUAUCUCGCAAACCAAUAAAGCUAUAUAAACCAAACUUCCUGCAGUCAUUUCUUUUAGCCACUUCUUAAUACAGUCCAAAAAUUAAUGAAAUCUGAUGAUUUUUACUAAGUGGAAAAUGGGCGUGGCAUCGCAUACUUAUGGGUCAAAAACCAUAUCUCAGGAACUACUCGAUAGAUUUCAAUGAAAUUCCACACGUGAAAAUGGAUGAAAUCGGUUCACAACCAAAAGUUCUCGUGUUUGAACAAGUUUUGUUUUGAGUUAUUUCUGCUUGUGAAGUAUUAUUUUACGUGUUUUAUUUAAAUCUGCUAAUUGGCAAAAAAGGGCGAAACCAUUGAAUACGUAAAUAAUUGUUGAAUAUAAUAAUAUUAUCUUGCCUUAAAUUCUAAUUAAUUUUCCAUACAGAUAUUUCAAAUCUCAUACGGCCCGUUAAAGGUACGCAACCUAAUUGGUGUCACUUAUGGUAGCAGCGUAGAACUUUCGAAGCGAUGGAAUAUGCGCUGCAAGCAAAUCCAGAACUAUGGAAUCGCUGCUACAUCGAACAUAAAUCAUUUAGACACCAGAUAUUAUGUUUAAUGUCACUUUUUUACGUGCAAUUAAACCUUUUGGUCAACACAAGCACGUGAAGAAUUGGAACGACAUGGUUUAGGUGCGUUUGCAACCGUUUAUCAUCGCGACGUGUGUCAACUGGGUUUUACCAAUGAGCUAGAGGGCAAAGCAGUUGCAGUAUUUUUGGACUUACCGGCAUCUCAGUUGGACGUGCCAUUAGCAGCUAAAACACAGAAAUUAAAGAGAGGACGUUUUUGAUUAAUUUUCACCUUGUAUUGAGGAAUCAUAACGUUAUUGUAUCGCUUUACAAGGACAUGGAUUCGCCGAAAUUAGUUCAAUGGAAAUACUACAGCAAGAGCAUGGAUGUUAAGACUAAAACGUUGCCCGUGCUAGAUUUAAAAUUCCUGAAGUAUAAGAAACCCUCCUCACAGAAAUUGGACUAUUCAAUACGUUUUACAUAUGUAUAUAGUGUAGUACGAUAAUACAUUUAUA